rnacentral:lncRNA from 1 species
AUGUAUAUAUCAUAACUAACAGUUGAACAUUCAGAUCCAACAAAUGGACACACAUCCAUUCACUUGAACUACAAGCUUGAACAGAUGCUCCAAUUUAAUUUCAUUAUUUUUAUGCCAAUUGAUUACUAGAUAAGAUAAGAUUUAUUUUAUUAAAGUGUCACCAUCCAUUACAAUAUCAAUAUAUAUAUACACAUAAAGUCAUAAGAACCUAACAUUUAAGUAAAAGGAUGCCAGCCGAAAACGACUUAUGAGACACUAUCAUUAAAACAAACAUCUAAUACAUACAUAAAAAG